rnacentral:rRNA from 1 species
CCUACGGGUGGCAGCAGUGAGGAAUAUUGAUCAAUGGCCGGAAGGCUGAACCAGCCAUGCCGCGUGAAGGUCAGUGCCCUAUGGGCGUUAAACUUCUUUUGUGCGGGAGCAAUAAUGGUCACGUGUGGCCAGACGAGAGUACCGUACGAAUAAGCAUUGGCUAACUCCGGGCCAGCAGCCGCGGUAAUACGGGGGAUGCAAGCGUUAUCCGGAUUUAUUGGGGUUAAAGGGUGCGUAGGGUGUGAGGUAAGUCAGCGGUGAAAUGCCCCCGCUCAACGGGGUGAAGUGCCAUUGAUACUGCCUUGCUGGAAUGCGGAUGCGGUGGGAGGAAUGUGUGGUGUAGCGGUGAAAUGCAUAGAUAUCACACAGAACACCGAUUGCGAAGGCAUCUCACGAAUCCGCGAUUGACGCUGAUGCACGAAAGCGUGGGUAUCAAACAGGAUUAGAUACCCUAGUAGUC